AGAACGAACGCUGGCGGCAGGCUUAACACAUGCAAGUCGAACGCUCCGCAAGGAGAGUGGCAGACGGGUGAGUAACGCGUGGGAAUCUACCUGAUACUACGGAACAACAGAGGGAAACUUCUGCUAAUACCGUAUACGCCCUACGGGGGAAAGAUUUAUCGGUAUCAGAUGAGCCCGCGUAAGAUUAGCUAGUUGGUGGGGUAAUGGCCUACCAAGGCGACGAUCUUUAGCUGGUCUGAGAGGAUGAUCAGCCACACUGGGACUGAGACACGGCCCAGACUCCGUACGGAGGCAGCAGUGGGGAAUAUGGACAAUGGGCGAAAGCCUGAUCCAGCCAUGCCGCGUAGAGUGAUGAAAGGACCGUUAGGGUUAGUAAAGCUUCUUUCAGGUGGGGAAAGAUAAGUAGACGUAACCCACAAGAAAGAAGCCCCGGUAUAACUUCGUGCC
rnacentral:rRNA from 1 species